AACCAGUCUUUUUUCCUCCACCCCCUCUUGCCUCAUCGAUCUUAAAACUGAUAUGCUCUUAAAAUCUUCAGAUGUGGGUUUUGAAAUUUGACUAGUUUUUUCAAUUGGGUUCGUGUUAUAUAUGAAUUUAAAGUUAGUUUUGGUGUUUUGAUUCAUUUGAUUGUUCGUCAACGGGUGCAGCUAGGAACAGUGUGAAGUCCAAAUAAAUAAGGUUCUAGAAUGGAUGGUUAUCUUCUUCUUCUUUUUGGUUCUAAUGUAGAAACAAUGAAGAAUUUCGAGAAUAUUACUGUCGAUUGUAACCGGACUCGCAGACCACUUCUCCUUCUUCCAUUUCACAACAUUAAUAGAAACUAAUUAUCGAUUUUGCUACUUGUUUGUCCAUCACUUCCCUUGUUAUGUUUCUGUUUAGUAUUUAUUCAAUACACGCAUGUUCGAAUGUCUUACAAAUACAAAAGCACAAUAAAAUAGAAGCGUCGCAUUUUAUGUAAAGCAAUUAAUUAUAGUAGAUAAUAAGUUAUUCCAGGAUUACUUGAAUUCUAUGUCGCCUCCAUUCCUCUUUUCAUCUUCAAAACUCUAACCGCAACUGCAACAUAUAUCUUGUCCCUAAUUUCCUCACAAAACUUGAAAAGCUUAUGUCUCCAUUGCUUCUUGAAAAACAACACGCCAAUGAUACCCCAAAAACCUGUUGCAAAACCAGUCAUUAUGUCCAGGUAAAACCAUACCUUCUUUGGCUUGUUAGCAUGUCCGCCUUUGUUCUUGCUUGUUGCAGUUGGUGGCUUUUUAUGAGGAGAGCAUUCCUUUGGCAGUGGUGCACCACAAAGAUAUGGGUUGUUAGCAUAUAUCAAUGGAUCUGUAAGCGUCUGCAAUUGAUUUCCCGUUGGAAUUUGUCCCGACAAGUUGUUGCGUGACAAAUUUAAGUAACUCAAGAAAUUAAGAGCUCCCAAGCUUGGAGGAAUCAUCCCAGUCAACUCGUUUGCUGACAAAUCGAGAGAAAAUAAUGACUUCACGUUCCCAAUGUUUAUUGGAAUGCCCCCACUAAGAUGAUUAUAAGACAAAUUCAAGCCCACUAAUGCAUCAAGUGCCAUUAGCGUCUCAGGUAUUUCUCCAACAAGUUUAUUGCCUGAAAGAUCCAUGUUUGUGAUGUAUUGCAGGGUUUUUGUAUAGUCAAGUGCAACACCUUUGAGGACCUGCAUCAUAUUUGCAUAAUUAGCAGCGGUAUCCCGAUACAUUGAGUCAAUAACCGAGUUCUUCGUCAUGCCACCCAAAACAAUGAGGGAUGGAUCCUCUUAGGUUGUUGUGUGCCAGAUCCAAAAUUUGAAGUCUGAAAGAUUUGCACAAAGAGUGAGGAAUUCUUCCGGUGAAAUUAUUCUUAUGCAACCUAAGAGCAAUUAAUUUAAUUUCUCCGAUCCAUUCAGGCUUAACAGCGCGUAAAUGCAGCACAAUGACCAUUCAAGCUGGAAAACGGGUAUUACAAGGCAAUACGGAGUGAGGAAGCGGAAAUGCUGGAAAAUAUACUCCCUCGCGCCACGCGAGGGAGUCUAUGUAAGGUGUCGCGUGGCGCGACAGGUGAAAGUCAACGAGCAGUCAAACCAUACUCCCUCGCGCCACGCGAGGGAGUCCAUGUGAGCUGUAACGUGGCGCGGCAGUGGUACAGCGCGGAAAAGUGUGAUUUUAACCUAGUUCGAGAGAAAACGUGGAUUAUUGAAUACACAGCCGCCAGAGGACGUUUUGGAGGACUUUUGGGCGAUUUCUUUUCAUCAUCUUCAAUCUUCCAAGCAACCUGCUCAUGUUUAAUCAAUUUCUGGCAGAUUCUGAAGCAACAAUGACCAUGAUGCGCGGCUAAUUCGCUUGUAACUUCUACUCGGAUGAACUUUUGCUUAGUUUUGCAUUGAAUUUUGUUUACGGAUUCUUGUAACUGGUACAGCUUGACCACUCGUGUUGGAUUCUUG